GCCAAGAGAAAAGGACGGUAAGGACACCUCGGUCACAACAGAUCCUAACAGUUCUAAGUGUGAAGCAGCAGCUUGAAUAGAGGAAACUACUCCAGGGUCAACACCUUCACCAAGUGUUUCUCGAAUCAAUCCAACCUUCAGUCCCUUCAAAGGUUUUGGUGAUGCAUAGUCCAGAGAAGCCAACUUAUUUGCAUAGUUAGGUACCUCCCGG
rnacentral:misc_RNA from 1 species